AGGAUCAAUACUUGGAGACUGCCCAUAACCUCCGCUUGUUCCCAUUUGAGAGUCCCUCUGAGCUGUUGUAGUUUCCGCUUCUGUAGUAGGUGGGUCUUUUAGCAGCUGUUCAUCACUCAAGAUCUCUUUCAGCCCUAGGACACCAAAGUGAGCCAACAUCCUGACCUUCCACAAGGAAAAGUCACCUGUGCCAUCAAACCUGUCCACCUCCACCCUAGUGUUACUCAUCUUAUUUUGGCACACACGGAAGGAGAUACAAGAAUCAAAGACAACAAAGAAG